GAUGAACGCUGGCGGCGUGCCUAAUACAUGCAAGUCGAGCGAAUGGAUUAAGAGCUUGCUCUUAUGAAGUUAGCGGCGGACGGGUGAGUAACACGUGGGUAACCUGCCCAUAAGACUGGGAUAACUCCGGGAAACCGGGGCUAAUACCGGAUAACAUUUUGAACCGCAGGGUUCGAAAUUGAGAGGCGGCUUCGGCUGUCACUUAUGGAUGGACCCGCGUCGCAUUAGCUAGUUGGUGAGGUAACGGCUCACCAAGGCAACGAUGCGUAGCCGACCUGAGAGGGUGAUCGGCCACACUGGGACUGAGACACGGCCCAGACUCCUACGGGAGGCAGCAGUAGGGAAUCUUCCGCAAUGGGCGAAAGUCUGACGGAGCAACGCCGCGUGAGUGAUGAAGGCUUUCGGGUCGUAAAACUCUGUUGUUAGGGAAGAACAAGUGCUAGUUGAAUAAGCUGGCACCUUGACGGUACCUAACCAGAAAGCCACGGCUAACUACGUGCCAGCAGCCGCGGUAA
rnacentral:rRNA from 1 species